UACCAUGCGCGCCCCUGAGGUGACUGUCGGCUUGCCGGCGGUUUAAACGGGAAUCCGGUGCGCAGAUCGCCUUGGCGUGGUGCAAUUCCGGAGCUGCCCCCGCAACGGUGGGCGAGACAAGGGUCUGCAUGUAACACCACUGUGCGGUGCACGGGAAGGCGCAGAUCCGGGAAGCGAUUGCUUCCGCUCGCAAGCCCGGAGGCCGGCCUGAAGGGAUUGACCCGG
rnacentral:ncRNA from 2 species